rnacentral:rRNA from 1 species
GACGAACGCUGGCGGCGCGCUUAACACAUGCAAGUCGAGCGAUGAAAUUUCGACAGAUCCCUUCGGGGUGAAGCUGAAAUGGAUUAGCGGCGGACGGGUUAGUAACACGUGAGUAACCUGCCUUUUACAUUGGGAUAGCCCCGGUAAACUGGGAUUAAUACCAACUGACACUACCUUAUCACAUGAUCAAUUAGCUAAAGAAAUUCGGUCAAAGCUGGACUCAAGGCUGAUUAGCUAAUUGGGGAGGUAACGGCACACCCAGGGGGCGACCAAUAGCCGGGAAGAGAGGCUGGGCGCAGACUCUGAAGCGGGGACACAGUCCGAACUCCUACGGGAGGGAGCAGUGGGGAAUAGAGCACAGUGGGGGGAACCAUGAUGCAGCGACGAUGCGUGAGCGAAGAAGGCCUGCGGGAAGUAAAGCUCUUUUAUGAGGGAAGAUAAUGACGGUACCUCAAGAAAAAGCCCCGGCUAACUACGUG